GGAUUGUGGCUCAGCGGUAGAGUGCUCGCCUGGCAUGUGCGGGGCCCUGGGUUCGAUCCUCAGCACCA
rnacentral:tRNA from 1 species